rnacentral:rRNA from 1 species
UACGUAGGGUGCGAGCGUUGUCCGGAAUUAUUGGGCGUAAAGGGCUCGUAGGCGGUUUGUCGCGUCGGGAGUGAAAACCCAGGGCUUAACCCUGGGCUGGCUUCCGAUACGGGCAGACUAGAGGUAUGCAGGGGAGAACGGAAUUCCUGGUGUAGCGGUGAAAUGCGUAGAUAUCUGGAGGAACACCGGUGGCGAAGGCGGCAUCCUGGACCGGCAUUGACGCUGAGGCGCGAAAGCCAGGGGAGCAAACGGG